GGUAAUGUCUACUGCACCUUUAUCACUGUAGGCACUCGGUCAUGCUGUGGGUUCAAUGAACCUUAGACGUUAAUCGUCGAAGGUAUGACGUGAGGACGGGUUAGAUGCCC
rnacentral:ncRNA from 1 species